CCACAUCCUUAACGUGAAAUAUUUCGUUUACCCGCCCUGUAUUGCGCCAAAAACUCCUUCAAAAAAAUGAAGGACGGGCGGUUUCGAUGUAGAAGAUGAGAGCAACCAUCAUGAAGUACUAUCUAGCAACAUAGAAACAAACCCUAGCACCACCACUUCAAGCUGCAUAUUGUUUCAUCAAAUUCACCCCAAACCCACCAAUCAAACCCGAAGCUAAUCCCGCAGACCAACCCAAAUAAGCAAAUUCCCAAUACGCGAAUACCCUGUUCCACUAAAACCAGACAAACAAUCCCCCGGGGAAAACUUUCUAGCAGAUUGGAUGGAGCGGCGAAGAUGAAGAUUUAGAAUAAAAUAUUGUGGAGAAAUAUUUUCAGGCAACUUAGGCUUUGGGAAAAUGUUUGGAGGCGUAUUCUGGUUAUUUUCAGGCAAUUAGAGAAGUGGCGCCAACGGUGAAGCAGUUGUUGGUAGAGAAGAUAUUGAGAGAAAUUAUAUCACAUAGCGAUCAGAAGAGAGACACUGCUUCAUUUUUGUUAGAGGAAAAGACAAUCUUGAAGAAAUUGACUAGCCAACUCCUUAUAUUUUGAUGCUCAGAUUUCUCAAGGCUGCUCAAUUUGACACAAAGGAAUAAAGGAUGGAAUUGUCAAUAUGAAGUUAACCAAUAAUUGCAAUGUACGUUGGUUUGCUUGUGGUGAAGGAGGAGUUUGAAAGAAAAUCAAAAGUGUUUGAUGAAUUGUAUAAUUCUUUAGACAUGUAAAGCUUUUUGUAGUUGUCAUGUAAAUAUUGUGUACUUUAACAUUAUUAAAUAUUAAUAAUGAAAUAUAUUUUUUUAAA